ACAGGGGGGGCAAGCGUUGUUCGGAAUUACUGGGCGUAAAGGGCUCGUAGGCGGCCAACUAAGUCACACGUGAAAUCCCCAGGCUUAACCUGGGAACUGCGUGUGAUACUGGAUGGCUUGAAUCCGGGAGAGGGAUGCGGAAUUCCAGGUGUAGCGGUGAAAUGCGUAGAUAUCUGGAGGAACACCGGUGGCGAAGGCGGCAUCCUGGACCGGCACUGACGCUGAGGAGCGAAAGCCGGGGGAGCAAACAGGA
rnacentral:rRNA from 1 species